UACGUAGGGUGCAAGCGUUAAUCGGAAUUACUGGGCGUAAAGGGUGCGCAGGCGGCCCCGCAUGUCAGGCGUGAAAUCCCCGGGCUCAACCUGGGAAUGGCGCUUGAAACUACGGGGCUGGAGUGUGGCAGAGGGAGGUGGAAUUCCACGUGUAGCGGUGAAAUGCGUAGAGAUGUGGAGGAACACCGAUGGCGAAGGCA
rnacentral:rRNA from 2 species